rnacentral:misc_RNA from 1 species
GAAAUGCGAUAAGUAAUGUGAAUUGCAGAAUUCAGUGAAUCAUCGAAUCUUUGAACGCACCUUGCGCCCCUUGGUAUUCCAUGGGGCAUGCCUGUUCGAGCGUCAUUUGUACCUUCAAGCUUUGCUUGGUGUUGGGUGUUUGUCUCGCCUCUGCGUGUAGACUCGCCUCAAAACAAUUGGCAGCCGGCGUAUUGAUUUCGGAGCGCAGUACAUCUCGCGCUUUGCACUCAUAACGACGACGUCCAAAAGUACAUUUUUACACUCUUGACCUCGGAUCAGGUAGGGAUACCCGCUGAACUUAAGC